rnacentral:rRNA from 1 species
AGAAUCAACGCUGGCGGCGUGCCUAACACAUGCAAGUCGCACGAGAAAGGGGAGCAAUCCCUGAGUAAAGUGGCGCACGGGUGAGUAACACGUGAAUAAUCUACCUCCGAGUGGGGAAUAACUGAGAGAAAUCUUAGCUAAUACCGCAUAACACUUACGAGUCAAAGCAGCAAUGCGCUUGGAGAGGAGUUCGCGGCCGAUUAGUUAGUUGGCGGGGUAAUGGCCCACCAAGACGAUGAUCGGUAUCCGGCCUGAGAGGGCGCACGGACACACUGGAACUGAAACACGGUCCAGACUCCUACGGGAGGCAGCAGUGGGGAAUUUUGCGCAAUGGGGGAAACCCUGACGCAGCAACGCCGCGUGGAGGAUGAAGCCCCUUGGGGUGUAAACUCCUUUCGAUCGGGAAGAUAAUGACGGUACCGAUAUAAGAGCCCGGCUAACUUCGCGCCAGCAGCCGC